rnacentral:rRNA from 1 species
UACGAAGGGGGCUAGCGUUGCUCGGAAUUACUGGGCGUAAAGCGCACGUAGGCGGCUCUUUAAGUCGGGGGUGAAAUCCUGGAGCUCAACUCCAGAACUGCCUUCGAUACUGUAGAGCUUGAGUUCGGGAGAGGUGAGUGGAACUGCGAGUGUAGAGGUGAAAUUCGUAGAUAUUCGCAAGAACACCAGUGGCGAAAGGCGGCUC